rnacentral:rRNA from 1 species
UACGGGGGGGGGCAAGCGUUGUUCGGAAUUACUGGGCGUAAAGGGCUCGUAGGCGGCCAACUAAGUCAGACGUGAAAUCCCUCGGUUUAACCGGGGAACUGCGUCUGAUACUGGAUGGCUCGAGUUUGGGAGAGGGAUGCGGAAUUCCAGGUGUAGCGGUGAAAUGACGUAGAUAUCUGGAGGAACACCGGUGGCGAAGGCGGCAUCCUGGACCAACACUGACGCUGAUGAGCGAAAGCCAGGGGAGCAAACGGG